GACGUAGGGCGCGAGCGUUGUCCGGAUUUAUUGGGCGUAAAGAGCUCGUAGGCGGCUUGUUGCGUCGACCGUGAAAACCCGUGGCUUAACUGCGGGCUUGCGGUCGAUACGGGCGGGCUGGAGUUCGGUAGGGGGAGACUGGAAUUCCUGGUGUAGGCGGUGGAAUGCGCAGAUAUCAGGAGGAACACCGGUGGCGAAGGCGGGUCUCUGGGGAGUACCUGACGCUCAGGUGCGAAAGCCCAGGGGAGCGAACGGG
rnacentral:rRNA from 1 species